UACGAAGGGGGCUAGCGUUGUUCGGAUUCACUGGGCGUAAAGGGUGCGUAGGCGGUGGGGUAAGUCUGAUGUGAAAUCCCGCAGCUUAACUGCGGAACUGCAUUGGAAACUACUUCACUAGAGGAAUGGAGGGGAGACUGGAAUACUUGGUGUAGCAGUGAAAUGCGUAGAUAUCAAGUGGAACACCAGUGGCGAAGGCGAGUCUCUGGACAUUUCCUGACGCUGAGGCACGAAAGCCAGGGGAGCAAACGGG
rnacentral:rRNA from 1 species